AUUGAACGCUGGCGGCAGGCCUAACACAUGCAAGUCGAGCGGAGCGGCGGACGGGCGGGUAAUGAAUAGGAGGCAGCCUGGUAGUGGGGGAGAGCGAACGAAAAGGAGCGCUAAUACAUCAUACUAGCAGAUGAGCGUAGGUCGGAUUAGCUAGUUGGUGGGGUAAAGGCUUACCAAGGCGACGAUCCGUAACUGGUCUGAGAGGAUGAUCAGUCAGACUGGAACUGAUACACGGUCCAGACUCCUACGGGAGGCAGCAGUGGGGAAUAUUGGACAAUGGGCGAAAGCCUGAUCCAGCCAUGCCGCGUGUGUGAAGAAGGUCUUCGGAUUGUAAAGCACUUUAAGUUGGGAGGCGUUACCAACAGAAUAAGCACCGGCUAACUUCGUGCCAGCAGCCGCGGUAAUAC
rnacentral:rRNA from 1 species